rnacentral:lncRNA from 1 species
CGAGUUUCCUGAAUUUUUCUUUGGGAAUUAAAAUGCACUAUAAGUACCUACAAAUAUCCCAAAAAAUCCAAAAUCAACCUCAGGGUCUAAUUUUUGCCAAUUCUAGAAUUCCAGCACGACAGCUCCACCGUGCUCCGGCGACGGCGCCACCGCUUGCGGUCCGCCUCGGGUCGGCUAUUUUUGGCCAUUUUCGGUCGAAUUCAGCAGAUUUUGCAUCGAUCUUUGUGAAAAAAUAUGUUAAGGGGCCUUGGUUGGCCCAAAAAAUAUAAAAAACUGAAACUUACCGACGGCGGGGCUCUCUAGUGUGGUGGCUCCUCCAGUUCACGUUGUUGUUGGGUGUUUUGUUCCGGUCAACCUGUAAAGAAGGAAACCGUAAUCACAAUG